GGGGAAUAUUGCACAAUGGGGGAAACCCUGAUGCAGCGACGCCGCGUGAGCGAUGAAGUAUUUCGGUAUGUAAAGCUCUAUCAGCAGGGAAGAUAAUGACGGUACCUGACUAAGAAGCUCCGGCUAACUACGUGCCAGCAGCCGCGGUAAUACGUAGGGUGCAAGCGUUAUCCGGAAUUAUUGGGCGUAAAGGGCUCGUAGACGGUUCGUCGCGUCCGGUGUGAAAGUCCAUCGCUUAACGGUGGAUCCGCGCCGGGUACGGGCGGGCUUGAGUGCGGUAGGGGAGACUGGAAUUCCCGGUGUAACGGUGGAAUGUGUAGAUAUCGGGAAGAACACCAAUGGCGAAGGCAGGUCUCUGGGCCGUCACUGACGCUGAGGAGCGAAAGCGUGGGGAGCGAACAGGAUUAGAUACCCUGGUAGUCCACGCCGUAAACGGUGGAUGCUGGAUGUGGGGACCAUUCCACGGUCUCCGUGUCGGAGCCAACGCGUUAAGCAUCCCGCCUGGGGAGUACGGCCGCAAGGCUAAAACUCAAAGAAAUUGACGGGGGCCCGCACAAGCGGCGGAGCAUGCGGAUUAAUUCGAUGCAACGCGAAGAACCUUAUCUGGGCUUGACAUGUUCCCGACAGCCGUAGAGAUACGGUCUCCCUUCGGGGCGGGUUCACAGGUGGUGCAUGGUCGUCGUCAGCUCGUGUCGUGAGAUGUUGGGUUAAGUCCCGCAACGAGCGCAACCCUCGCCCUGUGUUGCCAGCACGUCGUGGUGGGAACUCACGGGGGACCGCCGGGGUCAACUCGGAGGAAGGUGGGGAUGACGUCAGAUCAUCAUGCCCCUUACGUCCAGGGCUUCACGCAUGCUACAAUGGCCGGUACAACGGGAUGCGACACCGCGAGGUGGAGCGGAUCCCUUAAAACCGGUCUCAGUUCGGAUUGGAGUCUGCAACCCGACUCCAUGAAGGCGGAGUCGCUAGUAAUCGCGGAUCAGCAACGCCGCGGUGAAUGCGUUCCCG
rnacentral:rRNA from 1 species